AACCGCCGUAUGCCGAACGGCACGUACGGUGGUGUGAGAGGACGCAUGAGGAAAUAAUCCUCAUGCUCCUACUCGAU
rnacentral:ncRNA from 1 species